UUGAGGUUUCUGACACAAUAGCUGGUGUAGAGUAUGACGUCCUAGACUGGUGGAAGACAAGCAGUUCUAAGUAUCCUAUACUUUCACAAAUGGCUAAAGAUGUUUUGGCGAUGCAAGUGUCCUCCGUCGCUUCUGAGAGUGCUUUUAGCACUAGUGGACGAAUUAUAACUCCAUAUAGAAGCUGUCUUACACAUUAUAUGGUGGAGGUAUUGAUGUGUACAGAGCAGUGGAUGAAGCAGGAAAUUCGGUUUAAGAGUGAAUCUGGCUUGGUGAAGAAAGAGCAAAUCAUUUCUGAAUAUGAGUAUUUGGAUAAGCUGAUGAAAGAGUUUGAGUAUGAAAAUCCAAUAGAAAAAGAAGACUGAAUCUCAAUAUCUCAAUCACUUCAAGUCUUCUACCAUCAACCAUGUAUGCAUCUUAGACUUGUUAUGGAGUUCACGAGUUGGAGACUAGAGUUCAUGGCAGAAUUCUUCUAGUUCUUUUCUUUUGGUAUUAUUUCUUUUAGUAUGAACUAAGCAUGUAUUGGUUUGGAGUUUGUUGAUUUUAGCUUUCAUUUUUAA